rnacentral:rRNA from 1 species
CCUACGGGUGGCAGCAGUGAGGAAUAUUGGUCAAUGGGCGCAAGUCUGAACCAGCCAUGCCGCGUGCAGGAAGAAGGAUCUAUGAGUUGUAAACUGCUUUUGUACGAGGGUAAAGGCAGAUACGCGUAUCUGUCUGAAAGUAUCAUACGAAUAAGCAUCGGCUAACUCCGUGCCAGCAGCCGCGGUAAUACGGAGGAUGCAAGCGUUAUCCGGAUUUAUUGGGGUUAAAGGGUGCGUAGGCGGUCGGAUAAGUUAGAGGUGAAAGCUCGAGGCUCAACCUCGGAAUUGCCUCUGAUACUGGUCGGCUAGAGAGUAGUUGCGGUAGGCGGAAUGUAUGGUGUAGCGGUGAAAUGCUUAGAUAUCACACAGAACACCGAUUGCGAAGGCAGCUUACCAAGCUACUUCUGACGUUGAGGCACGAAAGCGUGGGGAUCAAACAGGAUUAGAUACCCCUGUAGUC